rnacentral:lncRNA from 1 species
CUCUGUCCUAACACUAACAAGACCUCCACUAAACCAUAUCACUAAGGGCUACAUCUAAACGUCUUUUAAAGACCUCCAGGGAUGGCGACUCAACCACCUCCCUGGGCAGUCCAUUCCAAUGCCUAACAACCCCUUCAGUAAAGAAGUUCUUCCUAAUAUCCAACCUAAACCUCCCCUGGCGCAACUUUAGCCCAUUCCCCCUCGUCCUGUCACCAGGCACGUGGGAGAAUAGACCAAUCCCUACCUCUCUACAGCCUCCUUUAAGGUACCUAUAGAGAGCAAUGAGGUCUCCCCUGAGCCUCCUCUUCUCCAGGCUAAACAACCCCAGCUCCCUCAGCUGCUCCUUGUAAGACUUGUUCUCCAGACCCCUCACCAGUUUCGUUGCCCUUCUCUGGACUCUCUCGAGCACCUCCAUGUCCUUCUUGUAGUGAGGGGCCCAAAACUGAACACAGUACUCGAGGUGCGGCCUCACCAGAGCCGAGUACAGGGGGACAAUCACCUCCCUAGACCUGCUGGCCACACUGCUUCUGAUACAAGCCAGGAUGCUGUUGGCCUUCUUGGCCACCUGAGCACACUGCUGGCUCAUAUUCAGCUGCCUAUCAACCAGUACUCCCAGGUCCUUCUCGGCCAGGCAGCUUUCCAACCACUCAUCUCCCAGCCUGUAGCUCUGCUUGGGGUUGUUGUGCCCCAGGUGCAGGACCCGUCACUUGGCCUUGUUGAACUUCACACAGUUGGCCUCAGCCCAUCGGUCCAGCCUUCCAGAUCCUCCUGCAGAGCCUUCCUACCCUCCAGCAGAUCGACACACGCACCUAACUUGGUGUCAUCUGCAAACUUACUGAGGGUGCACUCGAUCCCCUCAUCCAGGUCAUCGAUAAACAUAUUAAAGAGGACCGGCCCCAGUGCCGAGCCCUGGGGGACUCCACUAGUGACCGGCCUCCAACUGGAUUUGGCUCCAUUCACCACAACUCUUUGGCCCGGCCAUCCAGCCAGUUUUUAACCCAACAAAGCAUACGCCAGUCCAAGCCACGAGCAGCCAGUUUCUUGAGGAGAAUGUUAUGGGAAACAGUGUCAAAAGCCUUACUGAAGUCAAGGUAGAUCACAUCCACAGCCUUCCCCUCAUCCACCAAGCA